CCCGCACAAGCGGUGGAGCAUGUGGUUUAAUUCGAAGCAACGCGAAGAACCUUACCAGGUCUUGACCAUCCCCUGACAACCGAGAGAUCGGGCGUUCCCCUUCGGGGGACAGGGUGACAGGUGGUGCAUGGUUGUCGUCAGCUCGUGUCGCGAGAUGUUGGGUUAAGUCCCGCAACGAGCGCAACCCUUGCCAUUAGUUGCUACGAAAGGGCACUCUAAUGGGACUGCCGGUGACAAACCGGAGGAAGGUGGGGAUGACGUCAAGUCCUCAUGGCCCUUAUAGGUGGGGCUACACACGUCAUACAAUGGCCGGUACAGAGGGUAGCCAACCCGCGAGGGGGAGCCAAUCCCACAAAGCCGGUCGUAGUCCGGAUCGCAGUCUGCAACUCGACUGCGUGAAGUCGGAAUCGCUAGUAAUCGCGGAUCAGCAUGUCGCGGUGAAUACGUUCCCGGGUCUU
rnacentral:rRNA from 1 species